CCCGCCCGCGCCAGUGGAGCCGCUCGGCGGAUCAUGUGCAGCGCGGCGCCGCUCGCAUGCGGCGCGUGGUUUCACCUUCAGGGCUGCUCGGCGCGCCCUUCCCCGAACGCCGCCGGCCGCGCAGGAGGUGACCUAUGCCAUCUUCUUACAGAAGGAAAUUUUCACUUUGGACUCUCCUGAGCAGCUGAAAGGAGAAACGUUACCCUGAGACUGAAGCAAUAAAAACACUUCUCUGCAGAACCGUAUGAUUGAAAAUGCAGUCCAGCCCUCCUCUGCUGCCAGACAUGCUUCUGUGCUCCUGCCCCGCUUACCUGUUGUUGCAGUAAUACUGAUGGAUCGUAGAAGAGAGGCAGAAAUGGAGUUACGGAGAUCCUCCAGCCCUGGCAAGCUAAGCAAGAACGAUAUGGAUGCUGACAAGACCAUGUGCCACAGCUGUUGCAUCUGCGGUAAAAGUUUUCCUUUUCAGAGCUCCCUGUCACAACACAUGAGGAAGCACACGGGUGAGAAGCCCUACAAAUGCCCUUACUGUGAUCAUAGAGCUUCCCAAAAGGGCAACCUGAAGAUUCACAUCCGUAGUCACAGGACAGGCACUUUAAGUCAGGGACAUGAGGUGGAGAUGGGAGAGGCACAGCUGGGGGAGAUGGGCGUUUCAGAGGGCCUUGGCGGGUGCACCAGCCCCACUAAAAGUACAUCUGCCUGCAACAAGAUCUUGAAUGGUACUGCUCAGGUCGAUAGCAGCAAGAUCUUGUUGAGAAGCAGCAAGAAGGAGGUCACAGAGACGGCGCCAGCCGAGGAGGAUAGCAAGCUGACCUCUUACCAGUGCACCUUCUGCAAAAACAAAUUUGAAAGGAAGAAGGACCUGGAGCAGCAUCUGCACCAGGUCCACAAACCGUUCAAGUGCAGGUUGUGCAGCUACAUGACCUUGAGGGAGGAGACGCUGUUAAACCACAUAGAGAAGGACCAUAUAACAGCUCAGGUCCCCAAUGGGGAGGCCUACACUGAGAACUGCAAGAGCGAGCUGAGUGCAGGCGAGUUUCCAUGCGAAGUCUGCGGUCAGGCCUUUAGUCAAACCUGGUUCCUGAAAGCUCACAUGAAAAAGCAUAGGGGCUCAUUUGAUCACGGAUGCCAUAUUUGUGGCAGGAGAUUCAAAGAGCCCUGGUUUCUCAAAAACCACAUGAAGUCGCAUGGCCCCAGGUCUGGGAGCAAAAACAAACCAAAAAAUGAUUUGGAGCUCAUAGCCACUAUCAAUGACGUGAUACAAGAGGAGACAAUUGUGACAGGCCUAUCUCUGUAUGAAGUUUGUACCAAGUGUGGAAAUCUGUUUACAAAUAUGGAAAGCCUGAAAGCGCAUAAUGUUGUUCACUACCGGGUGCAGCCGGGCAGCACCGGGGAUAAAGCUGAGGGCUUGACCGAUGGGAGCCUGAGCUCCUCGGUAACGAAGCAGUUUUUCUUGCAGUGUCUCAAUCUACGGCCAUCUGUAGCACUGGAUAGAGUUACAAGAGGGCAACCUGGGAAAAGAGUAGCCGAGCUGGAUCCGGUCAGUAGCUACCAAGCUUGGCAGCUGGCCACCAAAGGAAAAGUGGUGGAGCCCUCGGAGUAUGUGAAGUAUGUGGGAUGGGAUGAGGCCCUGGCAGAUGCGGACGUGACGUACGACAAGGAUAAGAGGGAGUAUAUCCUUGUCAACCAGGAGAAGCGCAAGCGGGACCAGGACUCGCCCAGCAACCCCAAGAAGAAGAGCUGCACCAGUGGGCGCCCAGAGAAAACCAGCAAUGCCCCGCCAGGGGAGAGCUGCCCGCUUGCCCAGGGGGAUCUGGACUACCGCCCUGCCUCACGGCAGAGCCGGCGGGCCGCCCAGAACAAGUCCACCGAGUGCUUUGAGUGUGGAAAGAUCUUCCGCACCUACCACCAAAUGGUGCUGCACUCCCGGGUGCACCGCAAGGAGCGGAGGAGCUGCAGUGAGGGCGGGAUGGCUACCCAGCCUGACCGCUACGGCUCCAGCAGUGAGGAAGGUGACUUGGGGUCCGUCAGCGGGCCUAGCACCCCUGGCUCUGCAUCCGCCCCAGAGGACUCGGCCACCUCCGGCUUGGGGGAGGAGGGGGCUGAGGAGAGCUCAGAGGAGGGAGCAGCCAACCCCUUGCUAGAUGAAAAGCCAUACCACUGCAACUUUCCUGAAGAAGAAACACCAAUGAUAACAUCUCAGUUGGAUGAACUCCCGAAGCUGGGAAGCCGCAACGCCAGAGAAAAUGAGGCCAGGGAAUCUAAACCAGAGAUUCCUGCCCUGAUGUCAGCACUGGAGAGUGUCAUCAAGGAACCCUUUUCGAAAUACCAAGGUUCUGCAGACAUGAAGGUGCCAGCAUUUCAUCACAGCCAGGGGCUUCCUUACUCCAGUCACAUCGCUAGCUUUGCUUCGGGUGUGGGCCAGACAUCUUCAGACGUGGUCAUGGACUUGAAAACAUCACUUGAAGUGCAGGCUAGUCGUGCUAGAAAAACUUUGCUAGACUUGCACAGGGAGCAUCCUCUGAUAGAAAAAGGUGCUGAAGCUCUAGAGGUAGCUCCACUCGAUUUGAGUGAAAAAUCAACAAGGGAUAAUUCAUGCAAUAAAUAUCUGAAUACAUCCUUCCAGGCUGCUUUAAUUGUCUACCCAUGUCCUUUCUGCAGUCACAAGACCUACUACCCAGAAGUCCUGUGGAUGCACAAAAGAAUUUUGCACAAAAUCAGCUGUAACUCGAUGGUACCGCCUUGGGUUCAACAGAAUGGAUUCAAGAGUAUUAAAAACAACCUGGUCUUUCUGGCAAGGAGUGGGCGCACUGGCCCCCCUCCUGUUCUUGGUGGUAAGGAAUGCCAGCCUUUGCCCAUUGCCAGAUUUACACGUACUCAAGUGCCAAGUGCAUUGCCAGGUUCCAAAACCAGCUCUCUCUCUGUUGGGAUGACUGCAAAGUCUGGUAGUACGCAUCAGUCAAAGGACAGUCAUGCCUUCAGCCACUGUGGUCCGCGCUUAUCGGGUCUGGAUGGAUACAGACAGCCCAAGUUAAACCAUUCCCAGGAGCAGUACAGCAUAGCAGCACAACAAAAAAGUAAAUAUGAAGCAAAUUCCAAACUUAUGCAAAUGGGAACCUAUAGUAGAAGCAUAACGCCUACACAAACAGUCAUAUCCAGGCCUAGCACACAGCCUACAAACAGUAAGCAAGUGGAGAAGUAUGUGGUUCCCCAGGGAAGUACCGGUUUUGCCCCUCCAGGUAAGCACUGUGCAUCCGACUCCGUGAAGGCCAAAUACAACCCACCACUGCAGUAUCAUCCUCUGUGUAAAAGUGAGCAGUACACUAAACAUGAAGAGCCAGCAGUGCCUCAGAGAGAGUCUCACAUGAAGGCUGGGAAUGAGAUGAGGACAUUGGCGAACUGCACAGCGGUAGCGCGAGCAAGCCCGGUACUGCAGCCCCAGCCUAGUACCGUGGGAGUUUCUCCAGCUUUACACUCCAGCAAACAGGAUGUGGGAUCAGAUGUGCAUGAGAAACAUUUGGACAUUUUAAAUAUCUUUAAAACAUACAUUCCAAAGGACCUUGCUUCAUUGUACCAAACCUGUGGUGCCAACAGCCCUGCCCUGGAUCACACAGGGAUGCUCAGGACACAAACACGCCAAGGAGACUGUGUCUGCAGAGAAUGUGGAAAAUGCUUUACCCAACCCAGUCACCUCAGGACUCAUCAGAGGUCCCACACAGUGGUAUUUGAGUCUAAUGGACUCCGAGGUACUGAAGUUCACACCACCUCUGCAGAUGCUCCAAAACAAAUUAUUUGUACCCUGAUAUGCAGUACCUGGCCUUUGAAAGGCUCUCAUCCACCAGUUUCUGUGGACUCUGUGUUGGUGUGCUUUCCUGUUUCUACUAUACAGUUUCCUGUCUUAACAAACACUUCUCAGUUACAGAGAAAAUCAUUAAACUGAAUUUGUUUCAUGUAUCUUACAUCUUUGGAGACUAGUGUCUUAACCUGGACCUUUCUACUCCAUCUUGUAGCUUGGCAGGGGAGAGACCACGUCGGUGCGGAGAUCACCCACACGCUGCAUCUCCGAAAGGGAACCUAGAGCCUUGGCAGAGGAGCCCCGAGGCCAGCAGCCCCCAGCC